UAACGUGAAAUUUGAUACCUUUAGCAAAUGUUUACACAAUUUAACUUUGCUUCUGUCAUCAUGUUUGUGUGAAUCAAAAUACCUUUGGAACAUGUAUAUGACGAUUAAAGCAUAAAAUUAAUACGUAAGGGGAUUUUUAUGUGCUAAUUUUUUAAAUGUUUGUAAAUUAAUGAAUUGGUAUAAGUACAGCAGAUUUGAUAGUAAAUCUGACACCAUAUCGGUAUGUAUCUGUAAACACAGACUUCUAUAUAUCAAAAGAAAGGCUUAGUCUGUAGUUUAUAAAGAUGCAAAAUUUUCGAGUGGCAAAUUUCACGAUAUCUGGCUGGACUACACUCUGGAAGCUACAAAAAAAAGUUUUAAAGGAUACAGGCGGAAUCAUUGGUCUAAGAUUUAAAGAAGGUGCUUUGGCACAUUGGUUUCUCUCAGCACCAUUAGCAUCCAGAUACUAAACUAUGUGCCGCAAUGAUUUCUGUCACCAAAUUGAAAAUAAUAGACCACAUCAUGCAGACACCAAGGCGAAAAAAACUAAAAUAGAAACGUGAGCACAAUUGUAUCAGUGUUUGACAGUUCGUUUGUUUAAGACAAAACGUUUACUCGAAGCGGCGUGUUGUCGGAAAUCAAUAGCAUAUAUGAACCCUAAGGCUUAAUUGUUCUUGUAGUAUUGCCAGGAAGACUCAUUCUCAAAGAACUUAUGCAAAAGACGAUUGAUUGGGAUAAACCUCUCUCGGACACCAAAACGACGCAAUAGGAAAACUUGAAAGUAUCUACCGAGAGUUUACAGAACAUAGAAAUACAUUGGAUGUACUUACCUGUUUCUCUGAGUGUUACCAGGAGAAAGGAGCUGCUACAUGUUAACUAUGCUUCAGAAAAACUUAUGCUGCAGCUGUCUACUUGUUAGCGAUGUCAGAUGACGGUACAUGGUCUAAUUAUUUAUUCUUGGAAAACCCAAGGUUGCUCCAAAAGGUGGACAUAACAAUUCCCUGAUUGAAACUUUGUGUGGUAGUUUUGGCUGUAGAAGUAUUUGAUAUUGUUUCUGUAAAUGUGACCGUCCACUUUGAUAUUGUCUCAUUUUUCACUGACAGCAAGGUUGUUCUCGGAUACAUUCAAAACAAAACUCGUUGACAUAUGUUGGCAAUAGCGUUGACAGGAUUCUGCGGAGUUGUUUUUAUAACAAAACUGAUAGUAACCAAAUAGACUGUGCUACUACAAACUUCAUGAAUUAUAGUUGAUAGUUUAUGGCUUCGUGGUCCAGUUGCAACAAUGCUAAACAGGAAGAUGUACCGGAAUGUUUUCCUUUGAUAAAUCUUGAUGUUAACAAAGAGAUUUGUGCUAAAGUGAACACCUUCGUCACUACCACGUCUGAACGUUUUUCAUUUAGUUCUGGAUGUAGCAGAAUAGUCGUUGUUAUUGCUCUCUUGAAAAAUGUAGCUUGUUCUUAUCCAAGUCGUUUGUCACCUAGUGCUCAAUCUCAUGACUUCACGAUAGACACAGAAACGUUCAUUCAACAGCAAGUACAGAACAAUGUAAAUAAGGAAAGGUUACAUUGCUUCAUAAACAUAAGACAAAUUCAGAAGGAUAGUUGUAUUAUUAUGGGUUUUGAAGGUGGGUGUUAGGUUGAGAAAAAAUAACCUGUCGAACCUUGAAAAACAUCCAGUGAUUCUUCCAAUAAAAUAUCAUAUUUCAAAACUUAAAGUGUAUUAUUUUCAUAAUCAAGUCAAUCAUAAAGGGAGAAAUAUAACCGAAAGAGCGCUACGGUCUGCCGGUCUCAGGGUUGUCGGUUCCAAGAAGUUGGUUUCUUCCAUAACAUCUUGUUACCGUCAGAUCGCUUUUCUCCCGGUCCACCCUGUCCUUAUAUUGUUGUAGAUGCGUUCGGACCUUGGGAAGUUGUGAUUCGUCGGACGAGAGGAGGCCAUGCUUGUAGUAAACGUUGGGUUAAUAUGUUCACAUACCUUGUGAUAAGAAGUUGCAUAUAGAGGUUGUCGAGUCCAUGAGUGCUUCUUCUUUCAUAAAUGCAAUGCGUAGAUUGAUUGCAAUCAGAGGGUGUUUCCAAGUAGUGCUCACAAGCUAAUUUAUACAGUGAUAUUUUAUAAAAUAUCAGAUGGAGGAGGGUAUUGUGGACCAUAAUCUCGGAUACAUUCAAAAGAUAUUUUAUGCUAUAGACGUUUAAGAAUUCCGUCUGGACUAGUUCCGAAAUAUAACCAAUUGUGCGCUGAAUUAGGGUUAGGUUUAAGGUUAUUAUGUAUGCAUAUCCAUACCAAACUUAUCCAGUUUUGUGAUAUUUACCGAUUUUAUUUUACCCCAUAAUGUUUAAACUUCAUUAAGUAUAUGUAUAUAGAUUUUCAAAAAAUGAGGGACGAUUGUUUUGUCUUCGAGGUGAUACAAAAAUAAUCUAUGUGACAUUUUUCGACAAGUUUGUGAUUUGUUACAUAUUAUAAGUAUAUCUGUUAUUAAACCAUCACAUGUUGUCGUUUUACACUAUGUUUCGGAGCAUUAAUGUUACUACACACGUGUCAAUUUUUAUAUGGAUAUACAUACAAAAACAUAUUUAUUUGAGUGACAUUUUUCGACUUUAAUGCGCUUUCCUCUGCAAUGGUUUUUGUUGUUUAGUCAUCCAUUUGAUUGGUAUUACUCCCUGUGAUUGCAAUUUGUUUGACAAUCGAGUUAUGUUUUGCUCGUGUCAUUGAAGUUACUACUACCAUCGUUCAAAAUGAAACACGUACUAUUCUAACCACCCUCUUUGUCAGUGUUGCCUCUGUCGUUUCUGUUACCACUACCAACGCCGCUGUUAAAGCUA